rnacentral:lncRNA from 1 species
AAAUCCUAAAUCAAAUCCUAAAUCAAACUCUAGACAAACUCUAAAUCCUAAAUCAAACCUUAAAUCAAACCCUAAACAAAUCCUAAAUCCUAAAUCAAACCACAGUUCAAACUCUAGACUCUAAACUAAAUCCUAAAUCAAACCACGGAUCAAACUCUAGACCCUAAACUAAAUCCUAAAUCAAACCAUAGAUAAAUCAUAAAUCUUAAACCAAACUCUAGUCAAAUUCUAAAUCCUAAAUCAAAUCCUAAAUAAAUCCUAAACCCUAAACCCUAAACCAAAUCAUAACCAAUUCAAUCUAAUCCUAAUACUAUUUAGAACCUCAAUAUCUAUCAAAGUGUUGAUUUUACCUAAAAAUUUGCACAGUUUUCAAAAAUUAAGUUAGCAACAAGCACACAAAAUUUGAAGAUAAUCACAUUUACCAAAUGGAAGAAAAAAUCCUUAAAUCCACUUGGAUGUUGGUUGGCCUCUUACUCCAAUCUAAAUGUUGAACUUCUAAUGCCAGUAUCUCCUCAUCAAACUAUUCAAUUGUUCUCAAAUUUCACAU